rnacentral:rRNA from 1 species
UACGUAGGCAGCAAGCGUUGUUCGGAGUUACUGGGCGUAAAGGGUGUGUAGGCGGUUAUUUAAGUUUGGUGUGAAAUCUCCCGGCUCAACCGGGAGGGUGCGCCGAAUACUGAAUGACUUGGAGUGCGGGAGAGGAAAGUGGAAUUCCUGGUGUAGCGGUGAAAUGCGUAGAUAUCUGGAGGAACACCGGUGGCGAAGGCGCAUCCUGGACCGGCAUUGACGCUGAGGAGCGAAAGCCAGGGGAGCAAACGGG